AAAAUUGAAAAAUAUAGGAAAAUGUAAAGUUUUAAAAAUGAAAAUACCCACAAUUCAGAUGAAUAUGGCAGGAUAAUCGCUUGUGGGCAGGAGGUUGAGGCUGCCGUAUACAGUGGUCAGUGACGGAGCCCUUGAAUAGUCACUGUCCUCCUCCAGCCUGAGUAAAGUAGCCCCCUCUGAAAAAAAAAAAAUGCAGUUGCAAAAAUACCCACAAUUCUAACAUUGUCAAAAAUAUUAUUUUAGGUGUAGUCUUAAAAUUUUAUUUAAUUAUGAUAUGUUCUCUAUAUAAAAUUUUAAAACAUUUGACCUUUAAGUCUUGUUUUCUAUUUAUGAAAACAAAAUUUUUACUCUGAAAAAUGUACAUGUUAACAUAUUUGAAAUUAUCUAAAAAUAUACAUCAAAAACAAUAGCUAUACUUUUAAAAUAAACUAUUUUUACAGGUACAUUUGGAUACUAAAUCUUUCAUAAUUACUGAAGGAACAUGACUGGUCCUAAAAUGCAAGUGGGCAUAAACAGGGAACGAAAUGACAGGUGAGACUACAUUUUAAGUGAUUUAUUAUUAUUUCCCAAUUAAAAUCAAAGCAACAGGAUGGGUCAAGUAAUUCAAUAUGCACUUUAAUUAGCAAGAAAAAUAUUAAUUAAGCUUGACUAUUAAAAUGACUUUUAUGUUAUUUUAAUAAUAACUAGUAAUAACUUUGCAAGAGGCAAAUUAAACAAAACUAAACUUUGAUUUAAUAAUUCACUGAGCCUAACAGCUGAACUGUAUCGUUCAGAUAUUAUUAGCAAGAGUCUGAAGAUAAAAACAUCAUUUCAGGCUUUAAGUUUCUAUCAUUUCAGGAAAAAGAUUCCAUCUGUACUCUUGAUGAAGGAUAUGGGCUCAAGAGAUAUUUCAAAAGCAACAGCUGAAGGAAUACCACUAAGAUAAUUUUUUCCAGAAUCCCCCCCAUGCCAGUAAUGGAAAAACAAAAUGGAACAAAGGAAAAAUAAGGUAUUAUGGAGAUUACUUGGUAACAAUUGAGACGAACAUUUUUACCACAAAACUAUCACUUACAGAUAUAAGUUAAGAACAUUAUUAUGUAUGACCUUUUUAAAACGUGUGGUAUUUUUUUUUUCUCUUCCCAACAUGGUAAUGCCUGAUUGAAGCAUAGUAGCAGUUAGCUGAUCUUAUAUAAUAGUGGGAUUGUUUAUAUGAACAAGACAUAAGAAACCUAUUUCAGUGAACCAAAAAAGGAUAAACUUUAAUCAGAACACAAGAGAUUUUAUUCAAAGGCAGCGUCUUUCUAAAAUCCUUUUUUAAUCUCUAAAAUAAAGGGAAUGGACGAAUGAUCUCUGAGGUCCUUUCCUAAAAUGUCACCUGACAGCAUAAAACCUGACUUCCUAAUAAAGGAUAAUGCUGCAUUGAAUUAGGCCAAAGCGAUUUACUGAAACAAAAAUAUGAGAAACCCCUAUUAAUCAACUGAGUGAAGAAAUCUAUGAUUGGCUUAUGGCUUAUUCUUUUUUCUUUUUUUUUUUGUAAUAACAACGACAAAUAAAGUAGAAAUGAAUCUGAGUUAAAAUAAUGAUGUUAAAAUAAUAUUGUCAAUAUGAAACCAAAGCUUUCAGCAUUUCAACUUUAACCUAAGAUUAAAUUGCACAUUUAGAUAAUAUGUAUUUGCUUAUAUUUAUACAAUUACAUUUUAAAUACAAUGAAUGCUAGGAGUAUUUUUUACUUUUCCAUAUCUGAUAGCAUUAAUUAGGGUGAACUAGGUGGAGCUUGAUAGUUCUAGUUAAUGGCAAUGACACUUUAUUUGUCAGGAAGCACAUUUUCUGGCUGACUCAGCUGUCCAAAACCCAGCCAUAAACCCCAAAUAUGUGGGAAAUAGCCCCUAAACAAUUUAAUAACCUUGUUGAACACACACACAUGCAUAUAUACAUUGUGUAGAUAAGUAAAACUUAUAUAGACUAUAUAUUUAUGUAUUAUAAA
rnacentral:lncRNA from 1 species